CUGCUGCCUUCCGUAGGAGUUUGGACCGUGUCUCAGUUCCAAUGUGGGGGACCUUCCUCUCAGAACCCCUACGCAUCGUCGGCUUGGUGGGCCGUUGCCCCACCAACUACCUAAUGCGCCGCAUGCCCAUCCGUGACCGGGGUCGCCCCCUUUGGCCGGCAGGGGAUGUCCCCUCCCGGCAUUAUGUUGUAUUAGGCGGGAUUUCUCCCGGUUAUCCAUCUGUCACGGCUAGGUUGCAUACGUGUUACUCACCCGUGCGCCGGUCGCCGGCGG
rnacentral:rRNA from 1 species